rnacentral:rRNA from 1 species
AUUUUAUUGAUGCUAAAAGAAUGGAAGUUUAGAAAAAAUCUUUUUUAAAAAUAAAAAUUAAAAUUUUUUUAAUUUGUGCAAAAACAAUUAUUUAUAUUAAAGACAAGAAGACCCUAAGAAUUUUCUGGUUCAAUAAUUUAUAUAUUUAAUUUAUUAAACCUUGAUUGGGGCGAUCAAAAAAUAUUAAUAACUUUUUUUCAUUAAAAUGAUCUAUUAUUAAUAAAUUAAUGAAUUAAAUACUCUAGGGAUAACAGCGUAAUAAUUUUUGAUAGAUCUUAUAGACAAAAUAGUUUGCGACCUCGAUGAAGAA